GGGGGCAGAGGGAAAACCGCCGGGGGAACAAUGCUGGCUUUCCAGAAGGGGCUGCGGUUGCUGAACGGGACCGUGAGGAGCCAGAUCAUCCCACGGGCAAAGAUGUCCGCCAAGUCUGGAAAGAACAGUCCAUUGGAAAACAUCAUUGGAUUCGUAGUGAUUUUUGGUGGCGGCUUUUUCCCAAUUUGUUGGGUUAUGGGCAAUCUGGACAGUUAUAAGUGAGAAGAAAAAGCUUUUGGAAUGUGGUCACAAAGAAGAAAAUGUCAAUAAGAAGAGCUAUUCUCAGAGGCUUUCAUUAUUAAAAAUAAAAUUUGAAAACUCAUAA